UAGGCCUGUGUUUUUGUGCAUA
rnacentral:miRNA from 1 species